UCUUCUUCCUGCUAGCAAUGGAGCUCUACCUGGUCUCGUCAGCAAUCACGUCAUUAAAUCUGACUGGCAACUUGCAGAGGAUGGUGGGGCCGAGAGACAACAGGUCAAGUUUUCGAGGGCAGAAAAGUGAAGAUGGAAGUAUCCAGAUUCAUCUGAUGAUCCUCACUCAAAGACUUGUCUUCCUGCACCAUCCUCCUCCGUUUAAGAGUGAUUAUUUGAGGAGCACCUUGUGAUGUUGAAAAAUAAGAGUUGAACACUGACAAGCUAAAGAUUACUGGAGAUUAAGGAAAGUGCGUGGAGUAAGAUUUCAAGUCACCUGGAGCCAAGGAUAUAGUGAACCAAUUGAGUACUAAGACAUACAGCAAGAAAAAAAAAUCUAAUUUUAUCUUCAAGGAGAUGAAAGAAAGAAGAAGGAAGUUUUGGGACAAAAACAAUCAAAUACUAGAUUUGAUGUUAAAUAAAAAUCUCUUUGUAAUUCAAUGCCUACCCCACACUCACAUUCUCAACCCUACUUUUUUCGUUACCAUCAAUGCAUCAUUACUGUAUUCCUUUUUCUCCACGAGAAAUACUCAAUAUUUCAACACAAUUGUGUGAUAAAUAAAUUGGCCUAUGACUUCUUAUUAAGAAGAGCUGUGUUUCAAAGAGAACUAUGUUCCCACAAUCACUUAAUCUCUUGGAGCAUAGCAAAUCACCACAUAAUUGAAAUAUGGCUGUAAAGACUUGUGUUUGCUUAAUAAACACAAAAUUGAUUGGCCUAAAUGGAUUUUCUACUUAUUUUAGGGAAAAACAAC
rnacentral:lncRNA from 1 species